AGACCUAAGGGUCUAGGGAAGCGGAGGGCACGCUUUCGGGGAGAAUGGGACCGUCUCCCUCGGUAACUGGGGGUGCCAGGUAGUAGAAUUUACCCAAUGUACACCUCUCCCUCUUCGGCUCCAAUUAGCAUAUCUGUCAUUGUCACGUAAAUACAAAGGCAGGCUCUGGCCGCUGCCUGCAGUGGGGUGGGUGAGGGCGUGAGUGCCCGGGGACGCCUCUGCACGCGGGGGCGCAGAGGGCGAAGUUACGCACAGCCCGGGGCACCGCGACGCUUCCGCGCGUCUGCAGGUUCUUAAGCGCCGGUUCGUUCGCGCGCGCGGGGCGUCCUUUUCGGCUGGGAGGCCGCCGAGUGCCGUCACGCCCGCAGCCACCUCCCGGGAGGCCAGUCCCUCCGGGUGGGCCGGGGUGCCUCCUCCGCACGCGUGCUGGGGGACGUGUGUGGGGGCCCAGCCUCCUCCCCGAUAGCGACUCGGAGCCGCCGAAACCCAUGGAAACCUUUCUUAUCGGAGCUGCGCAUCAGACCCAUGAACCCACAGGACAAAACAUUCUAUUCAAGGAGGGAACAGCAAGAAGGAAAAGGUCAACAUUCCUAGAAGCAAGGCAAAGCGGAAUCAGAACACGGCAGGUGGAGGCUGACUACCUGGAUUCAAAUCCCUGCUCCAUCAUCUGCUACCUGUGUGACUUGGGAAGGAAACCCCAUCUUGCUGAUACUCUCCUGGAUCAAAUUCCCUGCUGACUUCCUUCCCUGGAUUGCCUCGCAUGUUUGACAGUGAACAAGAAGCCUGAAGACAACCAGAAAAGCAACUCAGCAUCUGGCUUUCUGUGGCCUGGGAGAAGAAGGCAGCAACCGGCGCCCACCCACAGAGUUCUUCCUGCGCAGAAUCAACCCUGGCUCCAAGCUCCUCUCUCCCUGGUGGGAGCAGACUGGAAUAAGAGGCAGGGUUUCAUUCCUCUAAAAACCCCCACGCUGGGAGGAGAGGACCCACAACGGCCCGAUGCUGGGAGCCGGCACCCCGCUCCACCACUGAUCAGCUCUAGGUCUUCUCAGGAGCCUGGGGGGACCCAUCAUUCUGGCCGUCAUCCCUGUCAGCGGCUGCAUUUUCUCUACACGCUUGAAAAAUCAUUUGAAAAACCAGAGAAGCUGGGCGAACCUGGAGAGGAUGGCAGCCCUUUUUUCCAGAAGAAGGACUGGGCCUCCCAGUUUUGACUGUCAGCUGUGGUGCCUGGCGGCCCCGCCGGCUGGCAUCCUGACAGGAUCUCAAGUCCAGAGCAGCAAGUAAACAUGGAUGACAUUGCAGCACGAGGGGGACGCGAGCACAUGAUGACUCGAGGCACCUGCAGCUGCUUGCACCCAAAUCAAAGUACAGGCUGAGCUCACUGGGAUGGAAAAGCACGGAAUUUACCGGGAGUGAGUUGGCUCCGUGCAAGAUCAAUGCUUAAUUCAAAGGAAUGACUUUCUAAUAGUGGAAUUUCUAGUAUUCGGCACCUUCUGAGGGAUGGCAGUGGGGACAUGAGGUCCUUUCCUCUAACCAUGCCACAUCACUCAGCACCUACAUGUGAGGUGAGCUCUAUGUGUACAUCUAAGUCAGGAGUCAGCAAACUAUGACCCCUGAUUUUGUAAAUUAAGUUUUAUUGGGCUGUGGCCAUGCCCAUCUGUUUACUUAUUGUUUCUGGCUGCUUUCUGGCCUAAUGGUAGAGUUGUGGGGUUGAGACAGAAAAUGUAUGGCCCGCAAAGGCUAAAAUAUUUACUCUCCAGUCCUUUACAGAAAAGAUUUGCCAACCCAAGUCUAGGUUAACAUGUAGCUUAGAUUGACUAUAGUUUAGAGACCAAGGUGUGAUCUAAUCAGAGCUAUUUUUGACCCUAUCAAAGGCUAUUUUCUCUAAAAAUAUAAAGCAUGAGGAAAAACAAAUCGUAUGUUCAGGUAUUUAGAAAAAUAAUACUAAUGCUAUCUCAAAGUAAAGCUUUUUACUUUUAUCUGAUCUAAGACUCACAGUAACCCAAGGGUAGAUAUUGUUAACCCAGUUUUAGAGGUAGUAAAACUGUGGCUUUGCGAUGUUCAAUAACUUGGUCUAUGUUUCAUAGUCCGUAAGGGGUGAGGCUGGGAUUCAAAUCUGGGCUGAGGGGAGAUCUUAACCACCUCUUUCUUCUCUAUACUCCUCAAAUGGUGACUAUUACUACCAUGUAUCAAGCAUGUAUUACCAGGUACUAUUAGUCUGACUUCCCACAUUUUCUCAUUGAAUCUUUAAACCGACUCAGGUAAGAAUUUGCAGCCCGAUUCCACAUCUAAAGUUUCUGCAGCUUUUAUUGAGAGUUCCCCAAAUGAAUGAUCUCAACAGCAAUGACUGAAGACGACCCUUUAUCAGCUCUCCACCUCUCUGAUGGAGGCAGAGAAACCUGUUAAUUCUGCUCCCCCCUGGGGGGUUCAGCUGCUAUCCCACCUUCUUCUGAGCUGGGAGAGCUCAGUGUAUACCCUCCCUCUCCCACAUCAAGGCAGCUGGGCCUGUCCUGCAGAGUGGCAGGUGGUAGAGGGACUCUGGGUGUCUAGUUGGGAGACGGGAGGGACAGAAUGAACCAAGGCAUGGUUUGGCUAAAACGACGAGAGAAGUGUGGUUUCUCAGCUGCUGACGUGCUCUGGCUCAGGAAAGGCAACAACACUAGUGUUUCCAGCUUUCCAGCUUCCCCAUCGGUCGGAGCCACCGGGUCCCAGACCAGCAGCCCUCUGGGCCACCACACCACCAGUGCCGCACACUGCACAUGCUCUCUCGCCUUCCCAACCACCCUCACUGCCAGGAUGAUGUGCUCUCUCUCAAAUGACUGCUGUUGACUGAUGAUACCACCACGGGCACUCCGGGCCAGAUGCACCAGGACAAUCUACUGUCUGUGUAAACAUUUAGAACCAUGUUGCUAAAAUUAUCUGUCUACUUUUUCCAAGACCUUCAAGAUACCCAGUUCUGCCCAAGGAUCAACUAGAACAAAGCUGUUCUGAGUGGCCAUGUCACUCAGCAGUAUGGGUUUAUUCCUGCUUGGUUCCUCCUUGGACUUGAAUUCUUCCCGUUUUGCAUUUUUAGUCUGUUUCUGUCAGAAAAGAUAAAAGGUGGGAUUCGAGAAACUCAUAUAAAAAUAAACAUGUUUCCUUGGUUACGGCUGUGACAUUGUAAACCUUUGGGUGAGGGGCAGUUGGUUGGCAUCUAUCACAUAUGGGUGUAAGUACAGAGGGAAUCACAUCUUCGGCCCUAUCUGUCAUUCUCACUCCUGAACUCUGGACCUGCAUAAGCUGUUAUCAGUUAUAUCUCCACCUGGAUGUCCUGCAGGUACCUUCAACCCAACAGACUUGAGAGAGCACCCUUUCUCCUCAUGCAGUGGUUAUGGGCCUCCCCAUCCACUGAGUCCCCCAAAUAGCAAUCUGGGAGUUCCCCCAGACAUUUCCUUUUCCAGCCCCUGUAUCCAUUCCUACUCUUGGUGGCCUGGCUUGUCCCUGAUCAUCUCUCCUGGACUGUUGCCUCCCAACAGCCCUUCCAGCUUGUAUGAAACUGCAGACUCUUUGAACAAACACAGAUAAAGAUGUCAACCAAGAAAAAGCGUAAACAGGGAGGAUAGUGUCAACGAAGAGCUGGAAACAAGGAUCUGCCCUCUGAUUACCAAUAUAAUGAGUGUUUGAAAACCAACCGGUGUACAAAUCAGAGGAUUCAGAAGCUGUGGGGCUAGAAGCACGCCGAGUGUCAGCUCUGCUUAUCAUCAUGACUGUCGUCUGCUACAAAACAGUCAUUGGUGAAUUGCCCCUAACCCCCAAACGAAGUAAACAGAAAACAGGAAGUAGGUUCUUGAAUUUAACGAAGUUUGAUUAUCAAAUUUUUAAAAACACUGAUUUAAAAAGCUACUUUCAUUUGACAUGUGUCUUACCUAACGUUUCAUGUUUGGGAAGAUGAAGCAGGCUUUGCCUAUGCAGUGCCCACAGAGCAUUUUGAAGUUAGGUACACAAAUAGUGACCUUGGGGAGGUAUCUCCAUCUUCCCUCACCAUCCUGUCCCCCAACAUCAGAUGUAGUCACUCAUCUCCUCAUAACACUAUUGUAAUAUUACAGUUAUUAUAAUUUUAACACUAUUAUCAUUCCAACAGCAAGUUAGGGGACAUCAGCAGAGUCCUCUCCUGAAGAAGUCUCGUGAACAGAAAUGGUGGCAGUUAAAGUAGUGCUAACACUAGCUGCACACAAGAUACUGUACUGAAAUGUGCAAAGUGGGCAGGUGAGGGGAGUGGGGGUGCCCUUGGUGCCCCUAGAGAAUGCGGGGCUCUUGGGCACCUGCACUUCUCUUUUCAUUGUGGGGAUGGAAAGAGGGCUCACACACAACUCCCAUGUUCUUUGAAGCACUAUUCACAAUAGCCAAGACAUGAAAACAACCUAAAUGUCCAAAGAUAGAUGAAUGAAUUUUUAAAAUGUGGUACAUACAUACAAAGGGAUAUUACUCAGCCUUUAAAAAGAAGGAAACCCUGAAAUAGAGACGUGGAUGAGAGCUGAGGACAUCAUGCUAACUGAAAUAAGCUAGUCACAGAAGGACAAACUGUGUGAUUCCACUUAUGCAUGAGGUAUCUAAAAUAGAUUCAUAAAAGCAAAGAAUAAAAUGGUGAUCACUGGGGGUUUGCGGGAGGGGAAAACAGAAGUUGCUAAUUGGGGGACAUAAAAUUUUAAUUAUGCAAGAUGAAUACAUUCUAGAGAUCAGUUGUACAACACUGCACUGAUAGAUAGCAAUACUGUAUU